CCUACGGGAGGCAGCAGUGAGGAAUAUUGGUCAAUGGUCGGGAGACUGAACCAGCCAAGCCGCGUGAGGGAGGAAGGUACAGAGUAUCGUAAACCUCUUUUGUCAGGGAACAAAGACUGGGACGCGUCCCCGGAUGAGUGUACCUGAAGAAAAAGCAUCGGCUAACUCCGUGCCAGCAGCCGCGGUAAUACGGAGGAUGCGAGCGUUAUCCGGAUUUAUUGGGUUUAAAGGGUGCGGAGGUGGUCUGUUAAGUCAGCGGUGAAAGGCCGGGGCUCAACCCCGGGCCCGCGGUUGAACUUGGCAGUCUUGAGUUGGAGAGAGGUAUGCGGAAUGCGCGGUGUAGCGGUGAAAUGCAUAGAUAUCGCGCAGAACUCCGAUUGCGAAGGCAGCAGGCCGGCUCCACACUGACGCUGAGGCACGAAAGCGUGGGUAUCGAACAGGAUUAGAUACCCCAGUAGUC
rnacentral:rRNA from 1 species